GGUGGGGCCAGAUAAGGGAAUAAAAGCAGGCUGCCCGAGCUAGCAGUGGCAACGGGGUAGGGUUCUCUUCCAGAGUGUGGAAGCUUUGUUCUUUUGCCUUUGGCAAUAAAUUUUGCUGCUGCUCAGUCUUUGGGUCUGCACUAUCUUUGGCGGCUGCUGCUCGCUCUUUGGGUCUGUGCUGUCUUUAUGAGCUGCAACACGGUGAAGCUCUGCAGCUUCGCUCCUGAAGCCAGUGAGACCACAAACCCACCAGAAGGAAGAAACUCUGGACCCAUCUGAACAUCUGAAGGAACAAACUCUGGACACACCGUCUUUAGGAACUGUAACACUCACUGCGAGGGUCUGUGGCUUCAUUCUUGAAGUCAGUGAGACCAAGAACCCACCAAUUCCGGACACAAUACUAUGGGAUGUUUGUUCAUCUGGUGUUUUCUUUGAAGACAGAAUCAGAGAGGCGCAGCAAGUGCCAGAACUCAAAUUGAAGCGCAACUCUGCCUGAUGGAAGCUCAGGUGAUUUCCACUCUGCCUCCACCUGCAUUGCUCAGCACCCUGCAGCCGGUCCCCAGACUGUAUGCUCCAUGCUGCUUGUGUUUGUUGGUUGGCUGGGUUCGUGUUCAUGUGUUCUGGCGUCUUCAUUUUGGGUCUUUACAUCUUUACAUCUCUAUAGCAGUUCUUCCCAUGUUGUGUAGCAGUUGUCUCUACAUGACGGUCUGUCUUGUGAGGUUGAGCUCCCUGAAGGCAGCAAGCAUGUAACUGGUAAAUUCUCAUCAGUUAGCCAUGUCUGGAACAUGGUAGGUGUUCAAUAACGGUUUUUGCUCAUUUAAUCAACUGUUCAUUAGCGUUUACUGAACUCUCCUACUGUGUAUCCAACACUGUAGCAGGCACUGAGGAUGGAGCGGUGGAGAAAAACGGGCAACACACUCUGCACUCCAUCUAGGGUGCAGAAAACAUGCAAAUAGUCAUAUACACUAAAACACCUCCCUCAGCACACUGACAUACUACUAUAACAUGCAAAUACUCAGAUACACGAAAACAUGCAGUCACAUGAAAACACUUCACACAGCACACUGACACGCUAUUACACGUAGCUAGAUACACGAAAACACUUCACACAGCACACUGACACACUGCUGUAACAUGCAGUCACAUGAAAACACUUCACACAGCACACUGACACGCUAUUACACGUAGCUAGAUACACGAAAACACACAGCACACUGACACACUGCUGUAACAUGCAGUCACAUGAAAACACCACACAGCACACUGACACGCUAUUACACGUAGCUAGAUACACGAAAACACUUCACACAGCACACUGACACACUGCUGUAACAUGCAAAUAGUCACAUGAAAACACUUCACACAGCACACUGACACGCUAUUACACGUAGCUAGAUACACGAAAACACCUCACACAGCACACUGACACACUGCUGUAACAUGCAAAUAGUCACAUACACAAAACACACAGCACACUGACACACUGCUGUAACAUGCAAAUAGUCAUAUACACCAAAACACUUCACACAACACACAGACACACUGCUGUAACAUGCAAAUAGUCACAUAAACAAAACACUUCACACAGCAGACUGACACUGCUGUAACAUGCAAAUAGUCAUACACAUGAAAACACUUCACACAGCACACUGACACACUGCUAUGACAUGCAAAUAGUCAUACACACAUGAAAACACUUCACACAGCACACUGACACACUGCUGUAACAUGCAAAUAGUCAUACACACGAAAACACUUAACACAGCACACUGACACUGCUGUAACACGCAAAUAGUCAUAUACACAUGAAAACACUUCACACAGCACAGCGACACACGGCUAUGUCAGAAAGGCAUGCAGUACUCUGUGAGUGUAGGAUGGUGUCGAGAGUCAGGAAAGAGUUGUGAAGAAAAGGGUAUGUGAGUGAGGGGUCAAGGCCGAGCAUCUAGGUGGAAAGUCCCGGCAGAGGGAGCCGUGCAAGCAUCCCCUCAGGCAGCAGGGACGUGGCACGACUGGGGGACCGGUGGCCGGAGGGCAGAGGCAGAGCCGGGAGUGUGCGAGGUGAGCAUGGAGAGGAAGCCACUGCACGCCAGAAAAAGGCACUCCUCCCACGAACAGGAGAGUCCACAGAGAUUUCUGCAAAGAGAGAAGCCAUGAGUGCUCGUUCAGUGCCUACAGUGUUUGGGGCAGCUGUGCAUUUUCUUCACAAAUUCAUUCCUUAAGAAACACUGCUCCAUGCGUUAUACGAGACAGAAAAUCCCGGUUAAUACUAACAGAUCCUUAGCUCGGGAUUGUCCGGAGCAGGCACGCUGUCGGCAGGGGCUGCUCUGGGGUCUGUGGUGUCAGGGGCUCCCCAGAAGCUGCAGCGCAGAAAUGGGGGAGGCUGAGAGCGACUCAGGCCUCCCUGCAAAUGCAGCUGAGGGGAGAUACCUUUCCGAUCAUGCUGGUGAUGAAACUCGCAGACACAAGUGACUAACCAAUUGAUAAGUAUUGCUCACUACUCGCAGAAAAUAUAGAUUUUUUUCUUAAAAGUCAUAGACAAAACACAGUUAAAUAAUUUAAUGGUUAUACCUUUCCUGACAUACUAUGUAACCUUGGCUUAUAUGCCUGGCUUAGAGAUGUUUUCCAAAGUUGUGGUGUAAUAAAAACAUUUAAAUAAUGAGUA